rnacentral:rRNA from 1 species
CGUGUGUGAAGAAGGCUUUCGGGUUGUAAAGCACUUUCAGUGGGGAAGAAGGCCUGGCGGUUAAUACCCGUCAGGGACGACAUCACCCACAGAAGAAGCACCGGCUAACUCCGUGCCAGCAGCCGCGGUAAUACGGAGGGUGCGAGCGUUAAUCGGAAUUACUGGGCGUAAAGCGCGCGUAGGCGGCUUGAUAAGCCGGGUGUGAAAGCCCUGGGCUCAACCUGGGAACGGCAUCCGGAACUGUCAAGCUAGAGUGCAGGAGAGGAAGGUAGAAUUCCCGGUGUAGCGGUGAAAUGCGUAGAGAUCGGGAGGAAUACCAGUGGCGAAGGCGGCCUUCUGGACUGACACUGACGCUGAGGUGCGAAAGCGUGGGUAGCAAACAGGAUUAGAUACCCUGGUAGUCCACGCCGUAAACGAUGUCGACUAGCCGUUGGGCUCCUCGCGAGCUUAGUGGCGCAGUUAACGCGAUAAGUCGACCGCCUGGGGAGUACGGCCGCAAGGUUAAAACUCAAAUGAAUUGACGGGGGCCCGCACAAGCGGUGGAGCAUGUGGUUUAAUUCGAUGCAACGCGAAGAACCUUACCUACCCUUGACAUCCUCGGAAUCCGCCGGAGACGGUGGAGUGCCUUCGGGAACCGAGUGACAGGUGCUGCAUGGCUGUCGUCAGCUCGUGUUGUGAAAUGUUGGGUUAAGUCCCGUAACGAGCGCAACCCUUGUCCCU